GUUACGGUGCAUGUAGAUUACAAAGAUUUCAAUAGGUCAUUGAUAAAGUUUGCAAGCGGCUUUGUAUUAUUCUUGAAAAAUUUUCUUUCCCUUUUUCUUUUUAUAACCAUUCUGACAUCGUCAUAUUUAAUGCUGGAUAUUACACAUUGAGAAUAUUUUAAAUGCACAUUCCCAACCUAAGAAAGUGUCCCACGUUAAAGCUUUGAGAGAUAAACAUACUAUUGCAGUCUAACACAAGAUUGAAUGAUUUAAAGAAAAUUGUUUUCAAGGUAAUUUCAUAUGCGUUUGGACUGGAAGUGAAACCAUAAAAUCAUGCACCUCGCUACUGAAGAAAGUCAACGUGUGAAAAGUUAAAGAUUGUAUAAAGGUGGUGAAUGAAGGUUCAAAAUAAAUCAAAGCUAUCUGUA